rnacentral:misc_RNA from 1 species
GAUGAAGAACGUAGCGAAAUGCGAUACGUAAUGUGAAUUGCAGAAUUCAGUGAAUCAUCGAAUCUUUGAACGCAUAUUGCGCUCUCUGGUAUUCCGGAGAGCAUGCUUGUUUGAGUAUCAGUAAACACCUCAACUUCCAUAUCUUUUUUGAAAUGGGAGUUGGACUUGAGUGAUCCCAACGCUUUUCCUCACCGAAAAGUGGCGGGUUACUUGAAAUGCAUGUGCAGCUGGACUUUUCUCUCAGCUAUAAUCAUAUCUAUUUAGUCUGCCUAAAAAACAGAUUAUUACCUUUGCUGCAGCUAACAUAAAGGAGAUUAGUUCUUGUGCUGACUGAUGCAGGAUUCACAAAGACAGGCUUCGGCCGACUUUGUAAACUCGAUCUCAAAUCAAGUAAGACUACCCGCUGAACUUAAGCAUAUCAAUAAGCGGAGGA